rnacentral:rRNA from 1 species
GACGAACGCUGGCGGCGUGCUUAACACAUGCAAGUCGAGCGGAAAGGCCCUUCGGGGUACUCGAGCGGCGAACGGGUGAGUAACACGUGAGUAACCUGCCCCAGACUUUGGGAUAACCCUCGGAAACGGGGGCUAAUACCGGAUACGACACAGCUUCGCAUGGGGUCUGUGUGGAAAGUUUUUCGGUUUGGGAUGGGCUCGCGGCCUAUCAGCUUGUUGGUGGGGUGAUGGCCUACCAAGGCGACGACGGGUAGCCGGCCUGAGAGGGCGACCGGCCACAAUGGGACUGAGACACGGCCCAGACUCCUACGGGAGGCAGCAGUGGGGAAUAUUGCACAAUGGGCGGAAGCCUGAUGAAGCGACGCCGCGUGAGGGAUGACGGCCUUCGGGUUGUAAACCUCUUUCAGCAGAGACGAAGCGUAAGUGACGGUACCUGCAGAAGAAGCGCCGGCCAACUACGUG